GUCAAAUACCCCAGAGUCAAAUACCCCCAGAGUCAAAUACCCCCAAGUCAAAUACCCCAGAGUCAAAUACCCCAGAGUCAAAUACCCCCUGAGGUCACAAAGUCUUUUUAAUAUUUGAGUUGAAACUAAAUCAGUGUUUAAAUGUUUGUUAACACUUUACGUGUGUAAAUCGUGUGUAAAUUGUGUAAAUCGUGUGUAAAUGUUCUUUAAACUUGAACUCAUCGUUUACUCAAAAUACUGAGUUUGUCGUUAUAUUUGAGUUUUUUGUGCUCAGAGAGAAUCUCAGAGUCAAACGGUCGUGGGUUAAAACUGCACAAGUAGUUCCGGCAUCAGCCAAAUCACUGUUCCGUAUCACUGCUCUGUGUCGUCACCGUAGCAACGGGUAAACAGACGAGUUUAUGGACGAGCUUCAUUUAAAACACUGAAACAACAAACGUGUGAAUAAAAAUGUUUCAUCUUUUAUUCAUUAAACAUAAAUGUUUUAUUCAUUAAACAUAAAUGUUUUAUUCAUUAAACAUAAAUAUUAUUUGUAUUAAACAUGUAGAAAUAUUUAAUUUUUUGGUAAAAUCACUUUUUGUUGAAACUCGUGUUCUUGGGAGAUUUUUAGUAAACGAUGAGUUAAUGUUUAAAAAACAUUUAUAAAAUAAAUCACAUAUAAAUGA